rnacentral:rRNA from 1 species
UACGUAGGGGGCAAGCGUUAUCCGGAAUUACUGGGUGUAAAGGGAGCGUAGACGGUAAUGUAAGUCUGGAGUGAAAGGCGGGGGCCCAACCCCCGGACUGCUCUGGAAACUAUGUUACUAGAGUGCAGGAGAGGUCAGCGGAAUUCCUAGUGUAGCGGUGAAAUGCGUAGAUAUUAGGAGGAACACCAGUGGCGAAGGCGGCUUACUGGACUGUAACUGACGUUGAGGCUCGAAAGCGUGGGGAGCAAACAGG